GAUGAACGCUGGCGGCGUGCCUAAUACAUGCAAGUCGAGCGAACGGACGAGAAGCUUGCUUCUCUGAUGUUAGCGGCGGACGGGUGAGUAACACGUGGAUAACCUACCUAUAAGACUGGGAUAACUUCGGGAAACCGGAGCUAAUACCGGAUAAUAUUUUGAACCGCAUGGUUCAAAAGUGAAAGACGAUCUUGCUGUCACUUAUAGAUGGAUCCGCGCUGCAUUAGCUAGUUGGUAAGGUAACGGCUUACCAAGGCAACGAUGCAUAGCCGACCUGAGAGGGUGACCGGCCACACUGGAACUGAGACACGGUCCAGACUCCUACGGGAGGCAGCAGUAGGGAAUCUUCCGCAAUGGGCGAAAGCCUGACGGAGCAACGCCGCGUGAGUGAUGAAGGUCUUCGGAUCGUAAAACUCUGUUAUUAGGGAAGAACAUAUGUGUAAGUAACUGUGCACAUCUUGACGGUACCUAAUCAGAAAGCCACGGCUAACUACGUG
rnacentral:rRNA from 1 species